UCGAGAAUUUUUCACAAUGGGGGAAACCCUGAUGGAGCGACGCCGCGUGGAGGAUGAAGGUUUUCGGAUUGUAAACUCCUGUCACUUCAGAACAAGACUACGUAUUCUAAUACAUUAUGUAGUUGAUGGUAUGAGGAGAGGAAGGGACGGCUAACUCUGUGCCAGCAGCCGCGGUAAUACAGAGGUCCCGAGCGUUGUUCGGAUUCAUUGGGCGUAAAGGGUGUGUAGGAGGUCGAAUAAGUCAGGCGUGAAAUCUCACCGCUUAACGGUGAAAUUGCGCUUGAUACUGUUUGGCUAGAGGAUUUGAGGGGGUAACGGAAUUCUUGGUGUAGCAGUGAAAUGCGUAGAUAUCAAGAGGAACACCAGUGGCGAAGGCGGUUACCUGGAAAAUUCCUGACUCUGAAACACGAAAGCUAGGGGAGCAAACGGG
rnacentral:rRNA from 1 species